UCCAGGGGCAGAUAUUGGUUAGCGGGGACCAUGUCCUAUCGCUCGAGUUUCAACUGGGAAACUCAGGGCGUGGUAUGACCCAGCAGGCCAUGCGCGAAGAAGGGAGGAUGGUGGGAAGAUCUCACGUGGACAGAUUCAUUCCCUUUUCCUUCAGAGGGGCUUUCUUCACGACCUCCAAAGCAAGACAGCGGCCUAUGAAAAGACUAAUGGACCCACCUGGGGUCACUUUUAUUGAGAGUUUUGAGACCCCACAGGAUGAGGGCUUGGUUCCUUUUUGCCAGCAAAUCUGUUUUCCGGGUGGCCCAACUCCAUUGAUAGACGAAGUCUUUUUCUGACAGAGUCACCGAGGACCGAGCCGCCAGAAUAGGUAAGUGUUGGAGAGAAAAAAUGA
rnacentral:lncRNA from 1 species